GGGGUUGUGGCUCAGUGGUAGAGCACUCACCUAGCAUGUGCAAGGCCCUGGGUUCAAUCCUCAGCACCACA
rnacentral:tRNA from 1 species